UACAGGUUGCCUGGUAACUUUGGGCCAAUGGGAGAGCGCGCGGGAAUACGUCAAAUGUUUGCCAGUUUAAAUUAUUGAAUCUUUAAACGUUGAAUCAGCCGACAUUUCUAGAGUUUGGUGCUCGUAGUUUGGGGUUUGUUCUCAAUUUUAAAACGCGCAGAGCGUUUCCAUUGAGUAAGUUUGCAAUUAGCUGGCGUUUCUUUAUAAUUUAAUUGCUUAAUAGCAUUGCAAUUUACAUUCUGUCGCAUCCAACUGCACACUCACAGUACCAAAAGUCUCAGUUCAAGGUAUGCACUCGAGACGAGUCACGAGCGAAUAAAUUAAUUUGUAAAUGGCAAAAUCAAGCAAAACUAGGAGUACAACAUCUGGGAUUCGCGAUAUUUCAACAAUGCAAAAAGACAAGUGCCUGCCUUUGCAUUACUACCAGAUUGCAUCAAAAUCAGUCAGCGAAGAAGACCAAGAAACUAAUUUAAAUGGUUUUGUCAGCCCUGGCAUACAUAAGGGAACAAAAGCCAUUCCGUCAUAAUUUAUGGCAGACCCAGUAGCUUCGAAACAAAAUUACAUGUAUCAAAAUCACAAAUACUUGUGGGACAAGCAGGCAACACCUGAAAAUUCACUGUGUUACUCAGGCUUAAUUCAAGCGUUCAAUAAACAUCGA